AACUCAACCACAGAAUGAGAGUGAAGAGUAGAAUGUAAAAUCUUGGGAGGGUAUCAUGAGGUCACCCAUGCCCUGAACAACCAGUGUGGUCCUCGGACCAGUGGCUGCAGCAGCACCUGGGAGCCUGUUAGAUCUGCAGACCCUCCAGCCCUAUCCCAGACCUACUGAAUCCAACUCUGCAGUUUAGCAAGAUCCCCAGGAGAGUGUGACCCGGGAGUGAGGCCCCAGCCAGCGGCACAACAUUUACAUUGUGAGAGGCGACGUGACAUGGGGAAAGAACACCGAAUACAAGGCCAGACACCUGGAUGUGCGUUCUGAUUUGGCCACGUUUUUGUCCUGGGGCCUCUGAAGAAGCAUCUGGGACUUGCUCACCAAGGAGACACCCGACUCUGGUCACUCCGUGGAUGCUCAUCAUUCCCUCAUUUGCCAUCUCAACUGCUAAAACCAUCUCCCGCUCAUCUACCUG